UACGUAGGGUGCGAGCGUUGUCCGGAAUUAUUGGGCGUAAAGGGCUCGUAGGCGGUUUGUCGCGUCGGGAGUGAAAACCUUGGGCUUAACUCAGGGCUUGCUUUCGAUACGGGCAGACUAGAGGUAUGCAGGGGAGAACGGAAUUCCUGGUGUAGCGGUGAAAUGCGCAGAUAUCAGGAGGAACACCGGUGGCGAAGGCGGCUUGCUGGGCCAGUUCUGACGCUGAGGAGCGAAAGCGUGGGGGAGCGAACAGG
rnacentral:rRNA from 1 species